rnacentral:lncRNA from 1 species
AUAAGAACUUGAAUUUCGCCGAUUAAUAAAUUUGAUAUUUUAUGUUGAAAUUCGACAAUCAAUUGAAGGAAAAAAAAUAAUGACUAAUCGUAAAAUAAAAAUUUAUGCAAUAUGUCAAAUAUAUAAAAUAGAUAUUUAUUGUUGAAUUUAAAGAGUCAAUUUGAGGUCUAAUCCACUUGAUCGGCUAACCUCUUCAUCUUUCUUAAUAAUAUUACAUGGAGGCGGCAACACGGAAGAAGGCCUUCUAUACUUAACCUCCGCUGUAAAAUCUUCCCAAUGAAACGCCGGCACCCAGGCGGCGGCAGCGGCGGAAUUACGCUUGCAUUCGUCUGUUUCUGAAUCGGACAUCCUCUUUCUCUUAUUUUUCCCCUUAUACGUAUUAUCUUUCAAUUGAUUCCUCACGUCCUUGAAAUUUUUGAUCAAUGCGAAGAAUUCCUCGAUCUUCUUCUCAUCGUCUUCUUCAACUUCUCCGGCAUUCCUCUCUGCAAUGUGCUUCUCGUUUUCCAUUUUCAGAAAUGCUCAAAAAGAAGAAAACACGCGUUCCUCAAUGUUGACGUCUUUAGCAUUAUCCCUAUUCGAUGAAUUUAUAGCGUGAUGGUCUGCGAAUUAUUUUAUAUUAAAAGACGGAGCUGCCCUUGCUAAUAUUUUUAUUUGGUAAACAGAAUCACAGGUCAGCGGAUCACGUCAUAUACGCAUACGUAA